UGUGUGGGCAGUCACCCCAUCUGAGCCUCAGGUUCUCAUCUGCAAAAUGGGAAUCCUAUUACCCCUCAUGUACUGUGGUUCUGAGCAGCAGAUGAGGAAAC